UACGUAGGGUGCGAGCGUUGUCCGGAAUUAUUGGGCGUAAAGAGCUUGUAGGCGGUCUGUCGCGUCUGCUGUGAAAAUCCGGGGCUCAACCCCGGACUUGCAGUGGGUACGGGCAGACUAGAGUGUGGUAGGGGGAGACUGGAAUUCCUGGUGUAGCGGUGAAAUGCGCAGAUAUCAGGAGGAACACCGAUGGCGAAGGCAGGUCUCUGGGCCACUACUGACGCUGAGAAGCGAAAGCAUGGGGAGCGAACAGGG
rnacentral:rRNA from 1 species